rnacentral:rRNA from 1 species
CCUACGGGGAGCAGCAGUGAGGAAUAUUGGUCAAUGGACGAGAGUCUGAACCAGCCAAGUAGCGUGAAGGAUGACUGCCCUAUGGGUUGUAAACUUCUUUUAUAUGGGAAUAAAAUGUUCCACGUGUGGGAUUUUGUAUGUACCAUAUGAAUAAGGAUCGGCUAACUCCGUGCCAGCAGCCGCGGUAAUACGGAGGAUCCGAGCGUUAUCCGGAUUUAUUGGGUUUAAAGGGAGCGUAGGUGGAUUGUUAAGUCAGUUGUGAAAGUUUGCGGCUCAACCGUAAAAUUGCAGUUGAAACUGGCAGUCUUGAGUACAGUAGAGGUGGGCGGAAUUCGUGGUGUAGCGGUGAAAUGCUUAGAUAGCACGAAGAACUCCGAUUGCGAAGGCAGUUCACUGGACUGCAACUGACACUGAGGCUCGAAAGUGUGGGUAUCAAACAGGAUUAGAUACCCGAGUAGUC